GUCGAACGGAAAGGCCCUGCUUUUGUGGGGUGCUCGAGUGGCGAACGGGUCCAUUAACACGUGAGUAACCUGCCCUUGACUUUGGGAUAACUUCCGGAAACUGGGGCUAAUACCGGAUAGGAGCUCCUGCUGCAUGGUGGGGGUUGGAAAGUUUCGGCGGUUGGGGAUGGACUCGCGGCUUAUCAGCUUGUUGGUGGGGUAGUGGCUUACCAAGGCUUUGACGGGUAGCCGGCCUGAGAGGGUGACCGGCCACAUUGGGACUGAGAUACGGCCCAGACUCCUACGGGAGGCAGCAGUGGGGAAUAUUGCACAAUGGGCGGAAGCCUGAUGCAGCAACGCCGCGUGCGGGAUGACGGCCUUCGGGUUGUAAACCGCUUUCGCCUGUGACGAAGCGUGAGUGACGGUAAUGGGUAAAGAAGCACCGGCUAACUACGUGCCAGCAGCCGCGGUGAUACGUAGGGUGCGAGCGUUGUCCGGAUUUAUUGGGCGUAAAGGGCUCGUAGGUGGUUGAUCGCGUCGGAAGUGUAAUCUUGGGGCUUAACCCUGAGCGUGCUUUCGAUACGGGUUGACUUGAGGAAGGUAGGGGAGAAUGGAAUUCCUGGUGGAGCGGUGGAAUGCGCAGAUAUCAGGAGGAACACCAGUGGCGAAGGCGGUUCUCUGGGCCUUUCCUGACGCUGAGGAGCGAAAGCGUGGGGAGCGAACAGGCUUAGAUACCCUGGUAGUCCACGCUGUAAACGGUGGGUACUAGGUGUGGGGUCCAUUCCACGGGUUCCGUGCCGUAGCUAACGCUUUAAGUACCCCGCCUGGGGAGUACGGCCGCAAGGC
rnacentral:rRNA from 1 species